rnacentral:rRNA from 1 species
AGCGAACGCUGGCGGCAGGCUUAACACAUGCAAGCCGAACGGGCGUAGCAAUACGUCAGUGGCAGACGGGUGAGUAACGCGUGGGAACGUACCUUUUGGUUCGGAACAACACAGGGAAACUUGUGCUAAUACCGGAUAAGCCCUUACGGGGAAAGAUUUAUCGCCGAAAGAUCGGCCCGCGUCUGAUUAGCUAGUUGGUGAGGUAAUGGCUCACCAAGGCGACGAUCAGUAGCUGGUCUGAGAGGAUGAUCAGCCACACUGGGACUGAGACACGGCCCAGACUCCUACGGGAGGCAGCAGUGGGGAAUAUUGGACAAUGGGGGCAACCCUGAUCCAGCCAUGCCGCGUGAGUGAUGAAGGCCCUAGGGUUGUAAAGCUCUUUUGUGCGGGAAGAUAAUGACGGUACCGCAAGAAUAAGCCCCGGCUAACUUCGUG